AAACCAGGAUAAUGAGUUCGACCGACGAGAGCACUCGGCUCGAAGCGAGUCCCUUCCGUUGACUUUCUUGCUGAGGCCUACAGCAUAUGUUUAAUCGGAAAAAAAUAGACUUCGGUGGAGGUG
rnacentral:ribozyme from 1 species